rnacentral:rRNA from 1 species
GACGAACGCUGGCGGCGUGCUUAACACAUGCAAGUCGAACGCUGAAGCUUGGUGCUUGCACUGGGUGGAUGAGUGGCGAACGGGUGAGUAAUACGUGAGUAACCUGCCCUUGACUCUGGGAUAAGCCUGGGAAACUGGGUCUAAUACUGGAUACGACAUGCCACUGCAUGGUGGUGUGUGGAAAGGGUUUUACUGGUUUUGGAUGGGCUCACGGCCUAUCAGCUUGUUGGUGGGGUAAUGGCCUACCAAGGCGACGACGGGUAGCCGGCCUGAGAGGGUGACCGGCCACACUGGGACUGAGACACGGCCCAGACUCCUACGGGAGGCAGCAGUGGGGAAUAUUGCACAAUGAGCGGAAGCCUGAUGCAGCGACGCCGCGUGAGGGAUGACGGCCUUCGGGUUGUAAACCUCUUUCAGCACGGAAGAAGCGAGAGUGACGGUACGUGCAGAAGAAGCGCCGGCUAACUACGUG